rnacentral:rRNA from 1 species
CAAUAGCGUAUAUUAAAGUUGUUGCAGUUAAAAAGCUCGUAGUUGGAUUUCUGGUGGGGGUUGCUAGUCCGGGGCGAAAGCCCUGUGACCGAUGCGUACCUACCGCCAUCCUCGGAGGGCCUGCGUGUGGGGGUUCGCCUUCGUGCGUAGCGCGCUCCGUCGUUUACUGUGAAAAAAUUAGAGUGUUCAAAGCAGGCUUCUAGCCGUUGAAUACAUUAGCAUGGAAUAAUGAGAUAGGACCUCGGUGGUCUAUUUUGUUGGUUUGCACGCCGAGGUAAUGAUUAAUAGGGAUAGUUGGGGGUAUUCGUAUUCUAUUGUCAGAGGUGAAAUUCUUAGAUUUAUGGAAGACGAACUACUGCGAAAGCAUUUACCAAGGAUGUUUUCAUUAA